rnacentral:lncRNA from 1 species
CAAAAAUGAAUUGCCAAGUCACUAAUACCAAACCCCAAACAGGCAAUUCAAAUUCCAGGCGGGAGAUGAAAACUUCAUUCCAGAACGAGAUCUUCAUCUCUCAAACCAGAGUUUCCCAAAUCCAAGUCAGCCCUAAACCCCAAAUUCAAAAUUAAUUCGAAACUGAAGGCUCCCAAAAGGCGAUUCUUUGAAACCGUUGACAUGGAGAGAACAAAUGGAGGUAAUUCAGAAAAAUGUUUCAUUUUAUAUUUUAAUAUCACUGUCUUUGUACUGCAACUAAGAUUUUCGAAGCAUUUCCUUUUGUUGUUCAAGGCUUUGAUUUUGUUGUUCGAGGUUCCGGUUGUUCAAGGCUCUGGUAAUUCAGGAAAAUGUCCCCUUUUGUUGUUCAAGACUCCGAUUUUCAAUUUCAAAUUUUUCUAAGAUUAUCGUAGCAUUUAUUCUUGUUUAUAGGUUAAAAUGACCAGUAGUUAAGCUAAAUAACUAUAAAGUUUAUGCUUAAAUUUUCUAUGUAAUUGAACCGCAAGAGUUAAGAAACGGGAUAUAGUGUUCAGUUUUAUUUUCUAUGUGAAUGACCAGUAGUUUUAUUUUUGUUCUAUGUUAUUGAAAGCUCAAGUAUAGGAUUACAGGAUAGAGUGUUCAGUUUUUCUGACUGUUUUUAUUCUUUAUUUGAUUGCCAUUAUUUUUUUUUACAAUCGAUAGUUCCUAAUCAUGGAAUUUAUACACAGGAAACGUUCAGUUCGAAUCACUUCGAGAUGUCCCUCGACUUAACCAUCUGAAAGGGUAAAGGAGACACGGAAAGGGCAUCUAUUUCACCUGUCUACUUGAGAAGAAGAAUUAGCUUUAAAUUUCAUGGCUUUGUAAUACAGAAUAAAAUAUUCAUGCUUAACAUUUUAUUAUUGUUGAUGUUAAAACUGGUGAAUUUUUCCUAUUCUUAAAAUUUGACGUUGCCAUGUAAUGGAGCCUAUGAAUGGUUUAAUUAGUUUAAAUAAGUGUUUAAUUACUUAAAAAUGACUGAGGUUGAUCACCAUACAGUUUCAUUAGUUUAAAUAUGUGUUCAAAAGCAUCCGUGAAUUGUACUGCCGCAUUAAGC